CAUGUCUUUUUGAUUAUAAUUUAAAGUCUAACCUGCCCUAUGAAUUUUAAAUGGCCGCGGUAUUUUGACUGUGCAAAGGUAGCAUAAUAAUUAGUUUUUUAAUUGGGAACUGGUAUGAAUGGUUGAACGAGAAAAGAACUGUCUCGAUUUAAUUUAAAUUAAAAUUUUAUUUUUAAGUAAAAAAGCUUAAAUAAUUUUGAAAGACGAGAAGACCCUAUAGAGUUUUAUAUUAUUUGAUAUUUUUAAAAAUUGAGGUAUUUUUAAUUUAAUUAUAUUAAUUUAGUAUUUAAUUGGGGUGAUUAAAAAAUUAAAAUAACUUUUUUUAAAUAAGAACAUUGAUUUAUGAAUAAAUGAUCCAUAUUUUAUGAUUAUAAGAUUAAAUUACCUUAGGGAUAACAGCGUUAUUUUUUUUAAGAGUUCUUAUCGAAAAAAAAGUUUGCGACC
rnacentral:rRNA from 1 species